GCGUGUGAUAAGGCUUGGUUGUAACCUUGUGAGAGACGUGCCGAAGAGCUCCGGUAACUCUGCCACGCCCGUACAGGAGCAGCUUGUCGGAAUUACUGGGCGUAAUGUAGGGUAAGACAGGUGAAAUCCCGACUACUUGAAUGAGACUGACUGAGUAUGAGGUGCGGAAUCCGUGUACAGUAAAUGCGCAAUAUGGAGAACACCGUGCUAAGACUGCCGUGGGGAGCAAACAGGAUUAGAUACCCUGGUAGUCCACGCCAUAACGAUGUGCUAGUGUUUGCCAUAACGCCUUAAGACGCCUGGGGUCGGUCGCAAGAUAAAAAGGAUGACGGGCGCAAGCGGUGGAUGUGUUAAUUCAACAGAACUCCCUGCCGCUAGGUGAUGC
rnacentral:rRNA from 1 species